rnacentral:lncRNA from 1 species
GGCAGGUGGAGCUGCCCGCAUCAGCGGCCUCGGGGAAUGGAAGCGGAGAACGCGGGCAGCUACUCCCUUCAGCAAGCUCAAGCUUUUUAUACGUUUCCAUUUCAACAACUGAUGGCUGAAGCUCCUAAUAUGGCAGUUGUGAAUGAACAGCAAAUGCCAGAAGAAGUUCCAGCCCCAGCUCCUGCUCAGGAACCAGUGCAAGAGGCUCCAAAAGGAAGAAAAAGAAAACCCAGAACAACAGAACCAAAACAACCAGUGGAACCCAAAAAACCUGUUGAGUCAAAAAAAUCUAGCAAGUCUGCAAAAUCAAAAGAAAAGCAAGAAAAAUUACAGACACAUUUAAAGUCAAAAGAAAAGUAGACCGUUUUAAUGGUGUUUCAGAAGCUGAACUUCUGACCAAGACUCUCCCCGAUAUUUUGACCUUCAAUCUGGACAUUGUCAUUAUUGGCAUAAACCCGGGUCUAAUGGCUGCUUACAAAGGGCAUCAUUACCCUGGACCUGGAAACCAUUUUUGGAAGUGUUUGUUUAUGUCAGGGCUCAGUGAGGUCCAGGUGAACCAUAUGGAUGAUCACACUCUACCAGGGAAGUAUGGUAUUGGAUUUACCAACAUGGUGGAAAGGACCACGCCUGGCAGCAAAGAUCUCUCCAGUAAAGAAUUUCGUGAAGGAGGACGUAUUCUAGUACAGAAAUUAUAGAAAUAUCAGCCACGAAUAGCAGUGUUUAAUGGAAAAUGUAUUUAUGAAAUUUUUAGUAAAGAAGUUUUUGGUGUAAAGGUUAAGAACUUGGAAUUUGGGCUUCAGCCCCAUAAGAUUCCAGGCACAGAAACUCUCUGCUAUGUUAUGCCGUCAUCCAGUGCAAGAAGUGCUCAGUUUCCUCGGGCCCAAGACAAAGUUCAUUACUACAUAAAACUGAAAGACUUAAGAGAUCAGUUGAGAGGCAUUGAACGAAAUACGGACGUUCAAGAGGUGCAAUAUACAUUUGACCUACAGCUUGCCCAAGAAGAUGCAAAGAAGAUGGCUGUUAAGGAAGAAAAAUAUGAUC